rnacentral:lncRNA from 1 species
CUCCUCAUGUUUUUACUCUUAUACUAACUCGUUAAUUACUUUAAAGUUAUUAUGCUGGCACCUAACAUCUUUAAUUCUUUUGAAAAACAUUACACCUUAUACCCUUAAGGGAGAUUGUAAUAAAAAUUAAUGAAAAAGCUACGUUCUCCUUCAAUCUAUUGUGAGUUGCUGAUCAUUCAUCUGGUUUGGCUAAUAUCAGCAAAUUUAAGAUUUGUUUCGUUGCCCGCCCUAACUAUACUGAAUUUUGGCAGGUUUCAGGGAGAACUUUUGGUAGCACCCUUCCAUAAGAAGAAUCAGGCCGGCUUAAAAAUAUAAACACAAAGCUUGAGGUUGAAAAUAUGGUGCAUUUAUUUCUCAUUUGGAAAGGAAGGUACAUUUUGAUUUUAAAGAAAUAUACGAUCGAUAUGCAAAAAGGAAUGUAAUAAAAAUAGCAAAUAUUUCAAAUGAAUGAAAAGUACCAAUUGAUUAAAUCGCCUUCACCACUUGGUAUAUAUGUAGUGUAGCUCAGCAAAAUCUAUCACUUCAAUUCCCUGCUCUGGCCAGUGCAUGAGCAGUUGAGCACAACAAAUAUUGUAGCAAAAAACUGAAUGGAAUUGCUUUCCAAAGCUAUGUAGCAUUGUCAAGCACAAAAACACGUACGUAGUGGAGUGCUACAUCAAAACCCAUUAGAUUUCAAACAAAGAUACCUGCAAAGGUGCAUGGUUACAACUCACAAGCCGGCCAGAUACGUAGCUAUUUAUCAGAUAAGCACAUUGACCUUCGUUAAGUACUUGCAUUAUGUACAUAUAUAUCAGAUAUGUAAAGUAAUUAUUUAAUUAUUAAAUAGUAAGUAACUCCCUAAGAAAAGGCAUCUAAUUAUAUAGAAUGAAUACGAAAUAAAAUUCAAAACUCUUUAGUGCAUCGAACAAGAAACAAAAAAAAAAAAAAAGUGCAGUAAAAUGUAGCUCCCCCCUUCGCUUUCAAGCAUGGAAAAAUAACCUAAGAAAGUAAGAAUGCACUUCCCUAAAGCCGGUUACGAAAGUGAGAAAAGUGUUAUGUAUAGUAAUGGUACCAUCAUUAGACCAAAAAGUCUAAUCAAAGCGAGAGAAAUUGUAUUUCUGCAUAAAUUAUAUACAAUAAUACAAUAAUUCAUACGAAAAGGAAUAAGGUAGGACAAAUAGAGAGACCGCGUGAUAAAAUAAUAUUAAUUGAUGUAAUUGAGAUAAAAAAUAAUGUAGAAAAUAUUGUAUGAAUAAUUCAUCCAAUAAAUUAUGCAAAUAAGGUCUUAGGAUU